GUGAACGCUGGCGGUAGGCCUAACACAUGCAAGUCGCACGGCAGCACAGUAAGAGCCUGCUCUUACGGGUGGCGAGUGGCGGACGGGUGAGGAAUACAUCGGAAUCUACUUUUUCGUGGGGGAUAACGUAGGGAAACUUACGCUAAUACCGCAUACGACCUACGGGUGAAAGCAGGGGAUCUUCGGACCUUGCGCGAUUGAAUGAGCCGAUGUCGGAUUAGCUAGUUGGCGGGGUAAAGGCCCACCAAGGCGACGAUCCGUAGCUGGUCUGAGAGGAUGAUCAGCCACACUGGAACUGAGACACGGUCCAGACUCCUACGGGAGGCAGCAGUGGGGAAUAUUGGACAAUGGGCGCAAGCCUGAUCCAGCCAUACCGCGUGGGUGAAGAAGGCCUUCGGGUUGUAAAGCCCUUUUGUUGGGAAAGAAAAGCAGCAGGUUAAUACCCCGCUGUUCUGACGGUACCCAAAGAAUAAGCACCGGCUAACUUCGUG
rnacentral:rRNA from 1 species